UACGUAGGGGGCAAGCGUUGUCCGGACUUAUUGGGCGUAAAGAGCGUGUAGGCGGCUUUACAGGUCCGUUGUGAAAACUCGAGGCUCAACCUCGAGACGCCGGUGGAAACCGUAAAGCUAGAGUCCGGAAGAGGAGAGUGGAAUUCCUGGUGUAGCGGUGAAAUGCGCAGAUAUCAGGAGGAACACCCGUGGCGAAAGCGGCUCUCUGGGACGGUACUGACGCUGAGACGCGAAAGCGCGGGGAGCAAACAGG
rnacentral:rRNA from 1 species